ACUGCUCAGUAACACGUGGAUAACCUGCCCUUGGGUCCGGCAUAACCCCGGGAAACUGGGGAUAAUUCCGGAUAACGCACAUAUGCUGGAAUGCUUUAUGCGUCAAAUGGAUUCGUCUGCCCAAGGAUGGGUCUGCGGCCUAUCAGGUAGUAGUGGGUGUAAUGUACCUACUAGCCGACAACGGGUACGGGUUGUGAGAGCAAGAGCCCGGAGAUGGAUUCUGAGACAUGAAUCCAGGCCCUACGGGGCGCAGCAGGCGCGAAAACUUUACAAUGCGGGAAACCGUGAUAAGGGGACACCGAGUGUCAGCAUCAUAUGCUGGCUGUCCAGGUGUGUAAAAUACACCUGUUAGCAAGGGCCGGGCAAGACCGGUGCCAGCCGCCGCGGUAACACCGGCGGCCCGAGUGGUGAUCGUGAUUAUUGGGUCUAAAGGGUCCGUAGCCGGUUUGGUCAGUCCUCCGGGAAAUCUGAUAGCUCAACUAUUAGGCUAUCGGGGGAUACUGCCAGGCUUGGAACCGGGAGAGGUAAGAGGUACUACAGGGGUAGGAGUGAAAUCUUGUAAUCCCUGUGGGACCACCUGUGGCGAAGGCGUCUUACCAGAACGGGUUCGACGGUGAGGGACGAAAGCUGGGGGCACGAACCGGAUUAGAUACCCGGGUAGUCCCAGCCGUAAACGAUGCUCGCUAGGUGUCAGGCAUGGCGCGACCGUGUCUGGUGCCGCAGGGAAGCCGUAAAGCGAGCCACCUGGGAAGUACGGCCGCAAGGCUGAAACUUAAAGGAAUUGGCGGGGGAGCAC
rnacentral:rRNA from 1 species